CGCCUCUCAAUUCUCGCUGUAUUUUACCCUUGUUUUUCUCAUACUAUUAUUUCCUCGGCAGGCUCGCCUGCCGGGUGAAACAACUUCAAACCUGUUUAAUUUUCAAUCAGCGUCUGAACAAAUUAAUAAUUACAACUUUCAACAACGGAUCUCUUGGUUCUGGCAUCGAUGAAGAACGCAGCGAAAUGCGAUAAGUAGUGUGAAUUGCAGAAUUCAGUGAAUCAUCGAAUCUUUGAACGCACAUUGCGCCCCUUGGUAUUCCAUGGGGCAUGCCUGUUCGAGCGUCAUUUGUACCUUCAAGCUCUGCUUGGUGUUGGGUGUUUGUCCUUGCUCUAGUGGCGGGACUCGCCUUAAAGUAAUUGGCAGCCAGUGUUUUGGUUUUGAAGCGCAGCACAAGUCGCGAUUCAAGUCUAUACGCUAGUUUCCACAAGUCUUUUAUCACUUUUGACCUCGGAUCAGGUAGGGAUACCCGCUGAACUUAAGCAUAUCAAUAAGCGGAGGAAGUA
rnacentral:rRNA from 1 species